GGACUAAAAAAAUAAAUUUGAUAGUUCUGAUCAUUGAAGAGGUAUCUGGAAAAUCAAAGAAGAAUUCAAGUGAAUAUGAAUAAUUUGGUAAUUUAUGAAGAUAUAUCAUUGAACAAACUUACGACAGUGAAAACUGCACAUUAUAUUGUUCAAAUGACAAAAACGCUUUAGUUUUCAGCCAGUUACAGACCAAUUAAACUAUCGCAACAUUAUUUUUUUGUGACUUAUUUACACCAAAAACGAAGUUUCUUUUGAAGAAUCUACAGUUUUUCUCUACAUAUAGAUAUUAUUAUCACCUUUACAAAUGACAAUUAAAAGCGCACAGAUUUAGACUGUAAUUGAACUAUUAUUUUGAUUCAACAAGUGGAAAGAAUGUCCUCAAAAUCAUCUCCUCCAUGUUUCAUACUUAUUUUACUUCUCAUAAUCAGGAGACUAACAGGUCUGAUAUAUAUUAGGAUGUCGUGGAUUUAACAAUAGCUCGCUGGACAAAUUAAUGGUUAUAGCUUCGAGCGUAAAACAAGCCAAUUUAUCACUUUGGAGUUCUAGCAUCUCUAAAUGAAAACAUUUUUUGCACCACAUAUCUCUAUUACAAAGUCAUUAUCAUUUAUUAGGUUUUUAGAGAGUAUAAAAUUUUGCUUAA